UACAGAGGGUGCAAGCGUUAAUCGGAAUUACUGGGCGUAAAGCGUGCGUAGACGGUCACGUAAGUCGGGUGUGAAAGCCCCGGGCUCAACCUGGGAAUUGCAUUCGAGACUGCAUGGCUAGGGUGCGGAAGAGGGAAGCGGAAUUUCCGGUGUAGCGGUGAAAUGCGUAGAUAUCGGAAGGAACACCAGUGGCGAAAGCGGUUUCCUGGUCCAGCACCGACGUUCAGGCACGAAAGCGUGGGGAGCAAACAGG
rnacentral:rRNA from 1 species